rnacentral:sRNA from 1 species
GCUGAGGUGCUUCCCCGGGGUCGUGCGCUCCCUGGACGCUCUGGGCUGGGAGGAGCGGCAGCUGGCGCUGGUGAAAGGCCUCCUGGCGGGAAACGUCUUCGACUGGGGGGCCAAAGCCGUGUCUGAUGUCCUUGAAUCCGACCCCUGCUUUGGGUUUGAAGAAGCAAAGAGGAAGUUACAAGAAAGACCCUGGCUUGUGGAUUCCUACAGCGAGUGGCUUCAGAGAUUAAAGGGGCCCCCUCAUAAAUGUGCCUUAAUUUUCGCAGAUAACAGUGGAAUAGACAUCAUUUUGGGAGUCUUCCCCUUUGUCAGGGAGCUACUCCUUAGAGGGACAGAGGUGAGUGCUGAGGUGGUGGGUGGGGCCCUUCCCCUGGGCUUCUCUGCUCUUGGUGGGGUUGGCGCCGCUGUGGGCCUCUGGCAGUGGUCGGGGCUCCUCCAGACGCAGCAGGUAGGUGCAGGCGGCAGCACGGGGGAGGUGGCCCAGAGCCCUCAUCUGAUGGGGUGGAGGCUCCCAGCCCCCCCGGGCUCAGGCUGAGGGUCCAUGUGCUGAAGCCCAGGGCUGAUGCCAGGCUCCUGGAAGGAGCUCACAGCAAGGAGGCUUUGGGGCUGUGACUUCAUGCCCAUAGGAGACAGGCAGGUCCCAAGGGCAGGUUCUAAACUCGGCUCUGCCCCUUGGCUCAGCUCCCUCCCAGGGGCCACAGAGUGGCAAGGUCAAGCGAGGUCCCUGCUCC